ensembl:lncRNA
CUUAAUGACAAGGUAUAUUAAAACCUUUGGGCAUACGUUCAUGCUCUGUUGGACUCAAAGGUUGGAACAUAAAAGGGACACAGAGCAGGACAUUUCCAGUAGGAGAGACAGGAGUUUGGAUACCCCGGUCACACAUGGACCCAACGGCUCUCUAUGUAAGGCACAAAGAAACAGCAGCCGCUGUCUGCAACAUGUCGGAAUCUGCUGAUACACAUUGCCGUGGCAGGAUAAGCAAUUACCUUUCCUGCUCACUGUCAAGUGCGAGAGAAUCUGCUGAUCGAGACAAACCCGCAUCCAGCUUCGAAACACGCUAUCAGGCGCUGCUAAGGGGGGACGUCGGCCCACUCGUACUGUCAAUCAAGAGUACAAGUCAGAGCCAAGAGAUAAGAAGGACAAUGGGGAGCUCUGCCAGUACACUAAAACAAUGCAAAAGAACACGUCUUACUAUCGAAACCAGAACUGUUAUCUUUCCAUAGUCACUUCAAUCACCUACUAAUUACAUCUGACAUCACAGGUUGCAGAACUACGCCUUAUCAACAAAGACCCUUAAUGACAAUGCCUUAACCAAGUACACAUUUUGAAGACAUUCCAUCUCAGAAAUACCAGCUGUACAAUAUACACACAAUAACUCCAAUAGGAGUCAGGGGGAGGUCACAGGGAAAGUAAUUAGAAUCAGGUCUAAUUUAAUACUGACAUCAGCCAGUGAGCUCUCAGCUGGACCUCAGCUCGUGAGCUCUCAGCUGGACCUCAGCUAGGUGGACCUCAGCUCGUGACCUCUCAGGUGGACCUCAGCUGGUGAGCUCUCAGGUGGACCUCAGCUCGUGACCUCUCAGGUGGACCUCAGCUGGUGAGCUCUCAGGUGGACCUCAGCUCGUGAGCUCUCAGGUGGGCCUCAGCUCGUGAGCUCUCAGGUGGGCCUCAGCUCGUGAGCUCUCAGCUGGACCUCAGCUCGUGAGCUCUCAGGUGGGCCUCAGCUCGUGAGCUCUC